GUUUGAAGCAGUUGUUGGGGAUUUUGGGUUAGCCAAACUCAUGGACUACAAGGAUACUCAUGUUACUACUGCUGUACGUGGUACAAUUGGGCAUAUUGCCCCUGAAUAUUUAUCUACUGGUAAAUCUUCUGAGAAAACUGAUGUCUUUGGCUAUGGGGUUAUGCUUCUAGAGCUCAUAACUGGGCAAAGGGCUUUUGAUCUUGCUCGACUUGCGAAUGAUGAUGAUGUCAUGCUGCUAGAUUGGGUGAAGGGACUCCUGAAGGACAAGAAAUAUGAAACAUUAGUUGAUGCAGAUCUUCAAGGUAAUUACAAUGAAGAAGAGGUGGAACAACUUAUUCAGGUAGCUCUACUUUGCACGCAGAGUACGCCUACGGAACGUCCAAAGAUGUCAGAAGUUGUAAGAAUGCUUGAAGGUGAUGGCCUUGCUGAGAGGUGGGAGGAAUGGCAAAAGGAGGAGAUGUUCCGGCAAGAUUACAACCAUGUACACCACCCCCAUACUGAUUGGAUAAUAGCUGACUCCACGUCAAAUAUCCGACCGGAUGAGUUGUCAGGGCCAAGAUGAUCUUUCAUUUAUUCUGCCAUCAGCACAUAUAGGACUGAUCUCUUGAGGGAAAAUACUCUUUGUAUCAUUGUAUCUGUAAUCGGUAUAUGUUAUCUUCCUUCUUCAUUUUUUUUUUUUU
rnacentral:misc_RNA from 1 species